rnacentral:rRNA from 1 species
GUAGUCUGCAACUCGACUACAUGAAGCUGGAAUCGCUAGUAAUCGCGAAUCAGAAUGUCGCGGUGAAUACGUUCCCGGGUCUUGUACACACCGCCCGUCACACCAUGGGAGCCGGUAAUGCCCGAAGUCUGUGGCCCAACCGAAAGGAAGGAGCAGCCGAGGGCAGGCCCGGUGACUGGGGUNAAGUCGUAACAAGGUACC